GACAGAGGGGCAAGCGUUGUCCGGACUGACUGGGCGUAAAGCGCGCGCAGGCGGUCUCGGGCGUCGGUGCUGAAAGUCCACCGCUUAACGGUGGGAAGCGUGCCGAUACGCCGAGACUGGAGGGUGGCGAGGGUGGUGGAAUUGCCGGUGUAGUGGUGAAAUGCGUAGAGAUCGGCAGGAACACCCGUGGCGUAAGCGGCCACCUAGCCCGCACCUGACGCUGAGGCGCGACAGCGUGGGGAGCGAACGGG
rnacentral:rRNA from 1 species